rnacentral:rRNA from 1 species
AUGAACGCUAGCGGCAGGCCUAAUACCUGCCAGUCGAACGGGCGGUAGCAAUACCGCUAGUGGCGCACGGGUGCGUAACGCGUAACCAACCUGCCCAGAUCUGGGGGAUAGCCCGCCGAAAGGCGGAUUAAUACCGCAUAAACCCACAGUGUGGCAUCACAUAAUGGGUAAAGAUUUAUCGGAUCUGGAUGGGGUUGCGUAGCAUUAGCUAGUUGGCGGGGUAAUGGCCCACCAAGGCGACGAUGCUUAGGGGACCUGAGAGGGUGAUCCCCCACACUGGCACCGAGAUACGGGCCAGACUCCUACGGGAGGCAGCAGUAGGGAAUAUUGGGCAAUGGGCGAGAGCCUGACCCAGCCAUGCCGCGUGCCGGAUGAAGGCCUUCUGGGUUGUAAACGGCUUUUCUCAGGGAAGAAAACGGGGAUGCGUCCUCAACUGACGGUACCUGAGGAAUAAGCACCGGCUAACUCCGUG